GCUAAAGUUGACACAAGACGGCUUCUUGGAACUCCCCCUCCUCCCGCCUAAAUGUACAGAGCAAGACUUGAAGUCAAAAGAUAGAUAGCGAUCGUGCUGAAAGUCAGGUGGAAAACAAGACUGCUAAUUUUAUGAAACAACCUAUCAACCCACUGGGAAGAGAUGACAAGAGAUCGAGAGCCUACAAAUCCGACAAAUAUGCCCACACUUUGACAGUAACCGCCUCCCAGCACGCCCCACCACCGCCAACACACAUGGAGGGGUUUGAACUUUUCCACCUUCCGGACCUCUGCAGUCCGUCGCAGGACGCCCAAACCACAGGCCGGACACAGAUGAAGCCAGACCACAGCCCCCGCCCCAGCCACCGCGGUAGGUGGGUGCCCAAGAGACUUCUCAGGUGAGGGCAGGGGCCCCCUGAAAGGCACUAGAGAAGGCCUGCCGCCCGAAUCUCCCCAAGUGCAGGGGAGAAUUACAUUUCCCCACCUCCUACCCAACCUGCCCCGGCCGAGUUAUGGACAUCGCCGCCUCAUUCUAGACUUGAAGGCACUCUGCGGCCACCAAGAGACCACUCCGCAUCCUAGGUCGAGCCUGUGGGAGAAGCACUCGGGGCCCGGGAGGCCGAGGCCUAAGGAAAGCAGCCGAUGGCUCCCAAGACAACUCUGUCCGGCCAGUACUCCAGGGCAACUUCAACCCCACUAGGACCCAGGCCAAAACCAUAUAUAUAUAUAUAUAUAUAUAAAUUAACGCAAAACAGAGCCACUUUGGUGCCUACCCCUCCACAAGUAGGUAGGCACAUCCAGGUAGCUCUGUCAGAAGAUGGGACCUGGCGCCUUGCAGGGGUAGCCCUAUGGAGAUCCAGAAGCCCCGUUUCGAGCUACGAAGUCUCUCUUCUACUGCAGUCUUCUCUCCAACGUGGAGAUCUAGCAACUUCCCUCCCCCUGGGAUUCCCUGUGAAUCCACUCUAGUUGGGAUAUAGCCUCUCUACAGCUCAGUGACGUAGCGCGCCAAAACCAAGUACCCACCCCGGCAACUGGAAGACCUAGCUGUCCUCCAUCCCGCCUCCGCAGUCGAUAAUCUCCAGGAUCCAAGCAAAGUGCCUGUCCACGUUGUCACCAGAUCCACAAGCGCUUUUGAUGAGAGCUGCUACCCUUUUGGAAACACGAUUCCCUCUCCCUAGUAGAGAAGAAUCUAUUCUUCUGGGCUGGCGUAGACAAAGAAUAACCAAGAUAAAGUAUGUGGUGUGAAAAUA
rnacentral:lncRNA from 1 species